rnacentral:rRNA from 1 species
GAUGAACGCUGGCGGCGUGCCUAAUACAUGCAAGUCGAGCGAACAGAUGAGGAGCUUGCUCCUCUGACGUUAGCGGCGGACGUGUGAGUAACACGUGUAUAACCUACCUAUAAGACUGGUAUAACUUCGGGAAACCGGAGCUAAUACCGGAUAAUAUAUUGAACCGCAUGGUUCAAUAGUGAAAUACGGUUUUGCUGUCACUUCUAGAUGGAUCCGCGCCGCAUUAGCUAGUUGGUAAGGUAACGGCUUACCAAGGCAACGAUGCGUAGACGACCUGAGAGGGUGAUAGGCCGCACUGGAACUGAGACGCGGUCCAGACUCCUACGGGAGGCAGCAGUAGGGAAUCUGCCGCAAUGGGCGAAAGCCUGACGGAGCAACGCCACGUGAGUGAUGAAGGUCUUCGGAUCGUAAAACUCUGUUAUUAGGGAAAAACAAAUGUGUAAGUAACUAUGCACGUCUUGACGGUACCUAGUCAGAAAGCCACGGCUAACUACGUG